UCAAAGGGAUGCUGCUAGCAUUAAUCAUCAGCUGGCAAAUUUCAAUGAGAAGCCAACAUAAAGGAAAAGACAGGUCAAACAGCUAUUGAAGCACGGGUAUCCAUUCCCAACGCAAGUCUUUAAGUGCUUUAAACAAUAUUAAAGACGUAUAUUACUAUUCUCUUUUUUUUAACAAGAGGAGAUGAAACAAAGCAUCACAACCCACAUAUAACCAUUCCUCAAGUAGGCAAAUGACCACACAGGAAAAAUGAAAGAGUUAAAAAAAUGAAGGUAAAUGCACAGCAACACUCAAAGAUAGUACAUCAAGGAAAGACGAUGAUGAAGCUUAAGUUGAAAGGAAUAGAGAACAAAGACCAGACCAGAACUAAGUUUUAGGCUUACCUUUCCACGAAGAGAUCGACGGUGAUGUUGGGUCCUCUCAACUCCGGCGCGUUUGAUUCUCCGACGGCAUUCAAAUGGAAUCUCGUGUCUUCUUUGCGGAAAAAUAGCGCCAAGGCUAGUUAGGGUUUGGGGAUCAAAAGAGGUCUCUGCCAAGGCCUUUCUGUGCUCAGAAAUUGGAGUGGUCUUUUUGGUGUAUGGUUCGAAAAAAGUGAAAUUGGCUUGGUUUGAUUUCAAAAUCUGAAGGAUGGUUAAUUGAUUCUUGGAGCUGCCACAGUUGUGUUUGUUGUAGUAACCAUGCCGACAUUCACUUACGGAGGAGAUGCUGAGUUAAAGGAGAUAACGGUGUCAUUCUUGCUUGAACAUGACUUUCUAACUCAUUAUUGUAGUUUUUUAUCUAAUGGUUCACUGAGUUUUCUGAUAUUUUCAGUUCUGUUUGCUCAGCUCUUCGAGCCUGGAUUUUUUUUUAUUCUUCCAGCGAAAGGGUUGUCGCACGCUUGAGGAAGAAUUUAUUCAGUCACCUUGUAAACCAGGAAAUAGCCUUCUUUGAUGUUACACGGACCGGUGAACUUUUAAGCAGGCUAUCUGAAGAUACACAGAUCAUUAAGAAUGCUGCAACUACCAACCUCUCAGAGGCCUUGAGAAACUCGUCAACUGCAUUUAUUGGUCUCGGUUUCAUGCUUGCAACAUCAUGGAAGUUAACAUUGCUGUCUUUGGCUGUUGUACCUGUUAUUUGGGCUGGGUAUCUAAUGCUGCAUCUUUCUCCUUCCUUUACUGAGCGCCAUGUGCCUUUAUUGCAGUGAAACCAGCUGCCGCAUUUCUUGAGUAACAACAGAAAAACGUGAAGAGGCCAUUGCAGUGACAGCUUUUGCCCCCCCCCAAUUAGGUGCUUAAAUGGCUAUUUUUAAUAUCCUGAGUAGAAGCAAUUCUCCAUAUCUUCCUUAGUAACCUUGGUUCUGUAUAUUCUGCAAUGAUUUGCACUAACAGAAUUUGAAUCAAUCUGGAAACGCACAUUUUCUACUAACCGUCUACGGCAGCGCUCAUCAGCAGGUUUAUGCUUGGCCAUUGACGACACUUGUGGCAUGUUGGAAAAAUUUCAAGGCUUGACCACAUUAUGUUGCUGGAACUUUGUUUGUGCAAGUUGGGUAUUACAGCAGUUGGUGCAGUUAGAUGAAUUCCCUUAUGUUAGUUCUGACAGUUAGAAUUAGGUUCAUUUAAAUGGUUAAAAUGUUAAUUGAUAUGCUAUGUAUGUUAACUGUUUUGUUGCCUGCUUU